rnacentral:lncRNA from 1 species
CCCUCUGGAAUGGUGAGACUCAAAUAACCCCUCCCACUUUCUCUAAGUUGCCUUGGUCAUGAUGUUUGAUCCCAGCGAUACAAAGAUAACUGAUACCUAUGAGCAUCCUGCAGCUGUCCCUUCAGAUGGCAAUGUAGCAGGGGACCGCCUGCAGGAAGAGAGCGUGUCUGUGUGUACAAAGUGAUGUCCUGCUUUGUCUGUUUCUGUGAGCCUAAGCCCUGGAUCCUGCCCCACAGUUGGCAGCAUUCAGCUUUGGAGCUUGAAAGACUGAAGGCCAGAACCUGGAGCUGAGAGAGAGCCUCUACACUGGGUUAACUGCGAUGAGAAGACCUGUACCAAAUGACCUUGGCCCCAUUCCAUGGGCUGGAUCCCAUGGACUCAGUGACCAGGAAGAGGAUGCUGAAUGAAUGCAGAUACUCUUCUUGCUGCAAUGGAACUGAGGGAGAUAACGUCGUCGAAGCACUCGAAGAUAAGCUGAGAUGGUCACCCAAGACGGACCAUCUUCAGAUGCACUUUCUUCAGAAAAUAGAAAUUAAGUGGUGUCUCCAUCUGAGAGACACUCUAGUGUUCAGACAGGGAGACAUUCAGCCUGUUGACGGCAAGCUAGCCACCAUGAGGUGCAGGGGUGCCUUGUGGUUUAAACGGAUGUUCAAGGCUUCUUUUUUCUUGGCUGUUCUGAUGGUGAGGUCAUCCUGGCACUUGAGUUGUUGUGGAACUCCCAAACUGAAGCACUCCCUCCUAGGGCAGGGCAGAGGGGCACAAGAAGACUCAAGGAGCUAAGAAGGUAUCAUCAACUGUGUAAGGCAGAAUCACGGUCCUCCAAAGAUGUCAAUAUGAGAAACCCAAUCAUCUGCAGGCAUCAUCUCACCCAGAAAUAAAAACUUUGCCAACAGAGGCUUGAGGUAGAAGAAACCAUCAAGAUUCAUCAGUCUAAUGACACAGGUUUUUAAAAUAGAGAACGUUUCUGAGCAGCACAGAGCUAGAAGGGGGAUGGUGUGAGAAGCUUUACCAUCGCCAACACUGAAGAUGGAGGGAGGCACCCAUAAACCCAGGGUGUAAGAAACCUCAAGACAGGGAAAGACCUGGCAAUGGAUUCUCUUUCCCAAGAGCCUCCAGACGGGGAUAUAACCUUGACAUUACAUCUUGCCUGCUGCCUUCUAGCUUACAGAGCUUAAGAGGUAGAGAGGUGGCUUAGUGUGCCUUGAAUAAACUGAAAUAUGUGUGGUGGUCUGUGAUCACAGCAGGAAGAUUAAAAAGAAAAUUUAAAGUUG